rnacentral:lncRNA from 1 species
UGGCCUGUAAAAUGGGGGACACGCACGGGGCCUGCUCUUUUUUUCCUAUCCCAAAGAGGAAGCCUGCAAUGAACAGGAGGUGCUAACUCAGGACACUGCAUGCAUACACUGCAUGCAUACAGUAAGCGCUCAAUAACAGCCUUUAUUAUCACCACCAUCAUCAUCGCUGAGGCAGGGCGAAGUGAAGAGGCGGAGCAGGGGCGAGAGGAGAGCGGGGGGAGGCGGCAGGGGCCCAUGGAAGCAGAGGUGCGCUCGGGGAAGGGCGUGCGGACCUGGGGAACCAAGGCGCCGGGCGUCCCGGGGCGCAGUAGCCAUGGUGGGUCUUAGGGGUCUGGGUCUCGGGCAGGAUGUGCAGGGCAUCAUGGGGAUGUGGCGUCCUGCUCCGCAGGGCGCAGAGGGGACCUCAACACUCACUUAUGGUGACACCGGAUGUGGCCAGAAAGUGGGGAGGAGGAAAGGGAUGCGCGACACUCAUACCCGGCACGAACAAUAGCAGAGCCACUCACAAGCGGGGGAAGGUGGAAGUCAGUGCCGGGGUCCCCCUCCCGCCCGAUGCAGAGUCGGGGUCGAGUGCCAGUGCGCAGAGGAAGGGAUGGGACGGACAAAGGCACGAGGUGGGGCUCCGGCCGGGCUGGGGUAGGGAAGGGUGCGGUCGAGGGAGUUGGGAUGGGCCCGCUCCCACUUCGCCCCUCACACCAGCGCGUAGUCGAACUGCCCGCGCUCGAGCGCCUCCUUGUGGUCGGUCCAGGACGAGGCGGGCAUGCGGCUGUAGGGGUCCAGCAGGAUGCGCACGCAGCGCACCAUCAGCAGCACCAGCACCACGAGCAGGCAGAGCACGAAGGCGAACACAGUGCGCUGCUCCGCGUCCAGCCCGGCGCCCACCGGG